UACGGGGGGUGCGAGCGUUGUCCGGAAUCACUGGGCGUAAAGGGCGCGUAGGCGGCGUGAUAAGGGUGUGGUGAAAGCCCGGGGCUCAAACCCCGGGUCGGCCAUGCCGACUGUCAGGCUAGAGUGCUGUAGGGGCAGGCGGAAUUCCGGGUGUAGCGGUGGAAUGCGUAGAGAUCCGGAGGAACACCAAUGGCGAAGGCAGCUCGCUGGGACGGUACUGACGCUGAGGUGCGAAAGCGUGGGGAGCAAACAGG
rnacentral:rRNA from 1 species